UGAGCAACCUACCUUCAGCUUUGGGAUAACCCUCGGAAACGGGGGCUAAUACCGGAUAUUCAUUGCUUCGCGCACGUGGGGUGGUGGAAAGUUUUUCGGUCAGGGUUGAGCCCGCGGCCUAUCAGCUUUGUUGGUGAGGUAGUGGCUCACCAAGGCGACGACGGGUAGCCGGCCUGAGAGGGUGACCGGCCACACGUGGGACUGAGACACGGCCCAGGCUCCGUACGGGAGGCA
rnacentral:rRNA from 1 species